UACGGGGGGAGCAAGCGUUGUUCGGAUUUACUGGGCGUAAAGGGCGCGUAGGCGGCCAGCACAAGUCAGUUGUGAAAUCUCCGAGCUUAACUCGGAAAGGUCAACUGAUACUGUGCGGCUAGAGUGCAGAAGGGGCAACUGGAAUUCUUGGUGUAGCGGUGAAAUGCGUAGAUAUCAAGAGGAGCACCUGCGGCGAAGGCGGGUUGCUGGGCUGACACUGACGCUGAGGCGCGAAAGCUAGGGGAGCGAACGGG
rnacentral:rRNA from 1 species